rnacentral:rRNA from 1 species
UACGGAGGGUGCUAGCGUUGUUCGGAAUUACUGGGCGUAAAGCGCACGUAGGCGGGCUUGUAAGUCGAUUGUGAAAGCCCCGGGCUCAAUCCGGGAAUUGCAGUCGAAACUACAAGUCUUGAAUACCCAAGAGGGUGGGGGAAUUCCUGGUGUAGAAGUGAAAUUCGUAGAUAUCAGGAGGAACACCGGAGGCGAAGGCGCCUGCCUGGUGGUGUAUUGACGCUAAGGUGCGAAAGCGUGGGGAGCAAAC